UACGAGGGGGGCAAGCGUUGCUCGGAAUCACUGGGCGUAAAGGGUGCGUAGGCGGGUCUUUAAGUCAGGGGUGAAAUCCUGGAGCUCAACUCCAGAACUGCCUUUGAUACUGAAGAUCUUGAGUCCGGGAGAGGUGAGUGGAACUGCGAGUGUAGAGGUGAAAUUCGUAGAUAUUCGCAAGAACACCAGUGGCGAAGGCGGCUCACUGGCCCGGUACUGACGCUGAGGCACGAAAGCGUGGGGAGCAAACAGG
rnacentral:rRNA from 1 species